AACGAACGCUGGCGGCAUGCCUAACACAUGCAAGUCGAACGAGACCUUCGGGUCUAGUGGCGCACGGGUGCGUAACGCGUGGGAACCUUCCCUUAGGUUCGGAAUACCUCCCCGAAAGGGGUGCUAAUACCGGAUAAUGUCUUCGGACCAAAGAUUUAUCGCCUUUGGAUGGGCCCGCGUUGGAUUAGCUAGUUGGUAGGGUAAAAGCCUACCAAGGCGACGAUCCAUAGCUGGUUUGAGAGAAUGGUCAGCCACACUGGGACUGAGACACGGCCCAGACUCCUACGGGAGGGGGGAGUGGGGGAUAGUGGAAAAUGGGCGAAAGGCUGAUGCAGCAAUGCCGGGUGAGUGAUGAAGGCCUGAGGGUUGUAAAGCUCUUUUACCCGGGAUGAUAAUGACGGUACCGGGAGAAUAAGCUCCGGCUAACUCCGUG
rnacentral:rRNA from 1 species